rnacentral:rRNA from 1 species
GACGAACGCUGGCGGCGUGCUUAACACAUGCAAGUCGAACGGGCUGCCUGGUUUUCGGAUCGGGUGGUGAGUGGCGAACGGGUGAGUAACACGUGAGUAACCUGCCCCUCUCUUUGGGAUAACGUCGGGAAAUCGGCGCUAAUACCGGGUAUUCUGGCUUCCUCGCAUGGGAUUGUUGGGAAAGGUUUUUUCUGGUGGGGGAUGGGCUCGCGGCCUAUCAGCUUGUUGGUGGGGUGAUGGCCUACCAAGGCGGUGACGGGUAGCCGGCCUGAGAGGGUGUCCGGCCACACUGGGACUGAGACACGGCCCAGACUCCUACGGGAGGCAGCAGUGGGGAAUAUUGCACAAUGGGCGGAAGCCUGAUGCAGCGACGCCGCGUGGGGGAUGACGGCCUUCGGGUUGUAAACCUCUUUCAGUGCAGAACAAGGCUCUUUGUGGGUUGAGGGUAGGCGCAGAAGAAGCGCCGGCUAACUACGUG